rnacentral:rRNA from 1 species
UACGAAGGGGGCUAGCGUUGCUCGGAAUGACUGGGCGUAAAGGGCGCGUAGGCGGAUUGUACAGUCAGGCGUGAAAUUCCCGGGCUCAACCUGGGGGCUGCGCUUGAGACGUGCGAUCUUGAGUGGGGAAGAGGGUCGUGGAAUUCCCAGUGUAGAGGUGAAAUUCGUAGAUAUUGGGAAGAACACCGGUGGCGAAGGCGGCGACCUGGUCCUUGACUGACGCUGAAGCGCGAAAGCGUGGGGAGCAAACGGG